rnacentral:rRNA from 1 species
ACAAGUAUGCCUCAGUACGGCGAGUGAGCGGCAAAAGCUCAAAUUUUAAAGCUGGCACCUUCGGUGUCCGCGUUGUAAUUUUGUGAGGCAUCUCCGGGUAGGGCGCCGGCCUAAGUUCCUUGGAACAGGACGUCAUAGAGGGUGAGAAUCCCGUGCUUGGCUGGCUGUCCCCGUCCAUGUGAGGUGUCUUCGACGAGUCGAGUUGUUUGGGAAUGCAGCUCAAAAUGGGUGGUAAAUUUCAUCUAAAGCUAAAUAUUGGUGGGAGACCGAUAGCGCACAAGUAGAGUGAUCGAAAGAUGAAAAGCACUUUGAAAAUAGAGUUAAAAAGUACGUGAAAUUGUUGAAAGGGAAGCGCUUGAGACCAGACUUCGGUGGGGAGUGAUCAGCUGUCCUUCUGGGCGGUGCACUUGCUCCCCUCCGGGCCAGCAUCGGUUGGGACGGCGGGAUAAAGGUCCCGGGAAUGUGGCUCCUCUCGGGGAGUGUUAUAGCCCGGGUGAAUGCCGCCAGCCCCGACCGAGGACCGCGCCUUCGGGCUAGGAUGCUUGGCAUAAUGGUCUUCAGCGACCCGUCUUGAAACCACGGGACCAAAGAA